rnacentral:lncRNA from 1 species
GGAUAACUUAAAAGAAUAUAUGGCGAAAAUAAAUGAAGCCUAAUAAGUUCAAAAGUGGGCUCUUUUUUUGGAGUUGAAGGUUUGAAAAGCAAAUACUGAUUUCUGUGGAAGAUUUAUAGGCAGGACACACUGCCAGUCAAAUGCAGAAUAGUUGGAAGGAGAAUGAUUUUGCUGAGUCAAAUUGAGAGGCUCCAGCUCUACUAGUUGUCCUGGAAAAAGUAAAGAAGGGACACAGAAAGGAAGAAACUGGUUAAACAGCUCAUUAGGUUCUGGUGGCUUAUUAUUAUUAUUAUUAUUUUUUUUCCAGGAAAAUUAUUAGAAAGUUGAAGGAAAGUCACAAAUUGUCAGGAAGCAGGCUGCUGGAAGGAUAGUGCAAGCAACAUCAUAAAACUAACUGUCUCCAGAAGACAGUUUCAUGUAUUGAUUACAGGAAACCAAGCAUCGCAAACUGCAGAUGAACGUUUCUUGGAAAUGCCCAAACAGCCAAGUGAAAGAGCUGAAUGUCUCAGGAAUAAAGACCCUAUAAAUAUUGCAGAGCACAAGCAUUCCUAAAGUGCUUCCUCAUUCCCAGUUGUAGCAUAGGAGCACAUACUUACAAGGCACACCACCCUGAAAUUGAUAGGAGCCUUUCUGUGGACUGCGUGGUUUGUAUACUAAGCCUCCAGGUUCUUGCACUGAACUCUUGCUGCUACAAAGAGCUCUUAAAAUUACAUUUAAAUUGGAAAUAGGAAUCUCCUCAGUCCCAACAUUG